rnacentral:rRNA from 1 species
AUUGAACGCUGGCGGCAUGCCUUACACAUGCAAGUCGAGCGGCAGCGCGGGGGCAACCCUGGCGGCGAGCGGCGAACGGGUGAGUAAUACAUCGGAACGUGUCCAGUAGUGGGGGAUAACCAGUCGAAAGAUUGGCUAAUACCGCAUACGAUCUACGGAUGAAAGCGGGGGACCGCAAGGCCUCGCGCUAUUGGAGCGGCCGAUGUCGGAUUAGCCAGUUGGCGGGGUAAAAGCCCACCAAGGCGACGAGACGUAGCUGGUCUGAGAGGACGCUCAGCACAACUGGAACGGGGACACGGACCAGACUCCUGCGGGAGGCAGCAGUGGGGAAGUUUGGACAAGGGGGGAAACCCUGAGCCAGCCAUCCCGCGGGAGUGAAGAAGGCCUUCGGGUUGUAAAGCUCUUUCGGCGGGGACGAAACGGUUUGCGCCAACACCGCAAACUAAUGACGGUACUCGCAGAAGAAGCACCGGCUAACUACGUGCCAGCCGCCGCGGUAA